UACGGGGGGAGCAAGCGUUGUUCGGAUUUAUUGGGCGUAAAGAGCGUGUAGGCGGCCAGGUAGGUCUGGUGUGAAAACUCGAGGCUUAACCUUGAGAUGUCAUCGGAAACCAUUUGGCUAGAGUCCGGAAGAGGAAAGUGGAAUUCCUGGUGUAGCGGUGAAAUGCGCAGAUAUCAGGAAGAACACCAAUGGCGAAAGCAGCUUUCUGGGACGGUACUGACGCUGGAGACGCGAAAGCGUGGGGAGCGAACAGG
rnacentral:rRNA from 1 species